rnacentral:rRNA from 1 species
GACGAACGCUGGCGGCGUGCCUAAUACAUGCAAGUAGAACGCUGAAGCUUGGUGCUUGCACCGAGCGGCUGAGUUGCGGACGGGUGAGUAACGCGUUGGCACCCUGCCUGGUAGCGGGGGAUAACUAUUGGAAACGAUAGCUAAUACCGCAUAAGAGUAGAUGUUGCAUGAUAUUUGCUUAGAAGGUGCAAUUGCAUCACUACCAGAUUGACCUGCGUUGUAUUAGCUAGUUGGUGAGGUAACGGCUCACCAAGGCAACGAUACAUAGCCGACCUGAGAGGGUGAUCGGCCACACUGGGACUGAGACACGGCCCAGACUCCUACGGGAGGCAGCAGUAGGGAAUCUUCGGCAAUGGACGGAAGUCUGACCGAGCAACGCCGCGUGAGUGAAGAAGGUUUUCGGAUCGUAAAGCUCUGUUGUAAGAGAAGAACGAGUGUGAGAGUGGAAAGUUCACACUGUGACGGUAUCUUACCAGAAAGGGACGGCUAACUACGUG